UACGGAGGGUGCAAGCGUUAAUCGGAAUUACUGGGUGUAAAGCGCACGCAGGCGGCUUGUUAAGUCGGAUGUGAAAGCCCUGGGCUCAACCUGGGAAUUGCAUUCGAUACUGGCAAGCUAGAGUAUGUGAGAGGGGGGUAGAAUUUCAAGUGUAGCGGUGAAAUGCGUAGAGAUUUGGAGGAAUACCAGUGGCGAAGGCGGCCCCCUGGCACACUACUGAUGCUCAGGUGCGAAAGCGUGGGGAGCAAACAGG
rnacentral:rRNA from 1 species